CUACCCGGGUAUCUAAUCCCGUUUGCUCCCCUGGCUUUCGCGCCUCAGCGUCAGAAGAGAUCCAGGAGCUCGCUUUCGCCACCGGAGUUCCUUCCAAUAUCAACGCAUUUCACCGCUCCACUGGAAGUUCCAGCUCCCCCUAUCUCCCUCCAGUCCAUCAGUAUCCCAGGCACUUUUCCGGUUAAGCCGAAAGAUUUCACCCCAGACUUGAUGGACCGCCUACGCGCCCUUUAAGCCCAGUGAUUCCGAACAACGUUCGCACGGUUCGUCUUACCGCGGCGGCUGGCAC
rnacentral:rRNA from 1 species